rnacentral:rRNA from 1 species
UACGUAGGGGGCAAGCGUUGUCCGGAUUUAUUGGGCGUAAAGAGCGUGUAGGCGGUCAGAUAGGUCCGUUGUGAAAACUCGAGGCUCAACCUCGAGACGCCGAUGGAAACCAUCUGACUAGAGUCCGGAAGAGGAGAGUGGAAUUCCUGGUGUAGCGGUGAAAUGCGCAGAUAUCAGGAAGAACACCCGUGGCUAAGGCGGCUCUCUAGUACGGUACUGACGCUGAGACGCGAAAGCGUGGGGAGCAAACAGG